AAAUGUUUGUCAACAGCCAGCGACUAUGCAGUGGCAGACGGUUGCUUGUGUUUGUGUAAUUUUAUUCUCGUUGAUUUCACAAGUUGAAACAAAGAAAGAAGUUUUCUGUAGACCUGGAAAGCACGAGCAUUAUGUUGAACAAUACGGACAAUGUAAGAAAACUGCUCGGCGAGAGGCCUGGGAGAAAAGCGACCCUGCAUCACAGACAGAAACGCGAGAUGUGAAGCUCCUUUACCCCAACCACCCACAAAACAACCACUGCAAAAUAUAGAAAAACCAGUAGAUCCAAAAAUGACUCAGCAUAAAAAUUAUCUAUCAACUGCCAGCGAAGAUUUGACCAGUUUCAAGAACGUGUUCGUCUACACGGUUGUAUCCGUGCUCUUCCUAAUGAUUCUGAUUUUCACAGCUUUAUACGUCCGGAAAAGGCGGUCUUAUUCGACACCGAAUCUUAAUCGAGGAAGCCAUCAACAAACACAACGAAGGACUAACAGGGUUAGGAUUAUUGAUGCAACUCUUGAAACACCCCUGACCCAAAACGAUGAGCAUACGUCUGCAGGUAAUCGACAACUGAGGUUAAAUACGGGGAGUGAUGUAAUUCGGGAACAUGAAACUAAUCCGGAUAGAUGUCAAAAGGAAUCGAACCACGAGUCCAUUCCUCUCAAAGAGUCACAUUUCAAGAUAGACGAACAUCUAAUGGACAUUGAUGGUGCACCUCUACAAACCGAUAAGCCUACCCAGAGAUGUACUAUUCCUAGAGGGUUGGGAUCAAACGAGAGAACGGAAACACUGACAGACGCAGAACUUCAGAGACUUUGUCCGGCAUUGGCAGCCAAGAACGCUUAUCGGAGAGUCGGGCGCAUGCUCGGCGUACGUGACAGAGACAUCGAUAUCAUAAGAGAGGAAACCAGAGGAGAUCCGAAGGAAUCCGCAUUUCAAACGUUAAAAAAAUGGACGGAGUUGAAAGGAAACGACGCAACACGCCAACAGUUAUCUUUGGCACUUGGUCGCAUCGAGAGACAAGACCUUGUCGAUGAAAUCACUACUAGUAACAAUCCGACCAAUCGAAACUAAAAAAGACUGCCUGUGACUAGCGACUGAAUUCCAAAGUAAAAGCCGGAUCAGUCGAAAUGACUGACCCCGACUCCAAUGCCGACUAGGGCUUCGAGAAUGCUCUCUCUACUGUAUUCAUCUCCAGUACAGAUUCUUUCCUCAUAGAAACUGUCCAUGCAUUAUUGAUUCUUGUUGAGGAUCUUUCUUAACUGAAACUCCUGCUAGAUGGCGGAGAUGGCCAAGCAUAAGGGUAGCGGCAAAUGAUUCUCCUGAUUUAUGAUUUGAAAUCAAUAAAGGUUAAAAAGAGUU
rnacentral:misc_RNA from 1 species